rnacentral:rRNA from 1 species
UACGUAGGGUGCAAGCGUUAUCGGAAUUACUGGGCGUAAAGCGUGCGCAGGCGGUUUUGUAAGUUUGUCGUGAAAAGCCCCGGGCUCAACCUGGGAAUUGCGGAUGGAGACGUGCGAAGGCUUGAAUCGUGGCAGAGGGGGGGUAGAAGUUCCACGUGGUAGCAGUGGAAAUGCGUAGGAGGAUGUGGAGGAACACCGAUGGCGGAAAGGCAGCCCCC